GACCAGACUCCUACGGGAGGCAGCAGUGGGGGAUAUUGCACAAUGGGGGAAACCCUGAUGCAGCGACGCCGCGUGGGCGAAGAAGUAUUUCGGUAUGUAAAGCCCUAUCAGCAGGGAAGAAGAAAUGACGGUACCUGAGUAAGAAGCACCGGCUAAAUACGUGCCAGCAGCCGCGGUAAUACGUAGGGGGCAAGCGUUAUCCGGAUUUACUGGGUGUAAAGGGAGCGUAGACGGCAGUGCAAGUCUGAAGUGAAAGGCGGGGGCCCAACCCCCGAACUGCUUUGGAAACUGUGCUGCUGGAGUGCAGGAGAGGCAAGUGGAAUUCCUAGUGUAGCGGUGAAAUGCGUAGAUAUUAGGAGGAACACCAGUGGCGAAGGCGGCUUGCUGGACUGUAACUGACGUUGAGGCUCGAAAGCGUGGGGAGCAAACAGGAUUAGAUACCCCCGUAC
rnacentral:rRNA from 1 species